UUUCCGUAGGUGAACCUGCGGAAGGAUCAUUAUCUAUUUUAACGGUGUUGGUUGCGGCCUCCGGGGGUAUCCCCCUGGGUGUAGAGGUAAUACUCGCGCGCACCACAUGCCUUAAUCCUUUUUUUACGAGCACCUUUCGUUAUCCUUCGGUGGGGCAACCUGCCGUUGGAACUUAUCAAAACCCUUUUUUUGCAUCUAGCAUUACCUGUUCUGAUACAAACAAUCGUUAUAACUUUCAACAAUGGAUCUCUUGGCUCUG
rnacentral:misc_RNA from 1 species